rnacentral:tRNA from 1 species
UGGACUUAAGCCCCAUAUAUAAAGUUUAUUACUUUUGUUAGAAUAAAUGUAAUUAAAAUAAAUCAAAAAUUAUAAAUUAUAUAAA